GUUUUUAUAGUUGAAAUACAACGGUGGUUUUUCAGGCCAUAAGUUCUGGUUAGAUUCCAGGUAAAAAUU
rnacentral:tRNA from 1 species